UACGUAGGGUGCAAGCGUUGUCCGGAAUUAUUGGGCGUAAAGAGCUCGUAGGCGGUCUGUCGCGUCGAAUGUGAAAACCCGGGGCUCAACCCCGGGCCUGCAUUCGAUACGGGCAGACUAGAGUUCGGUAGGGGAGUCUGGAAUUCCUGGUGUAGCGGUGAAAUGCGCAGAUAUCAGGAGGAACACCGGUGGCGAAGGCGGGACUCUGGGCCGAUACUGACGCUGAGGCGCGAAAGCGUGGGGAGCGAACAGG
rnacentral:rRNA from 1 species